UACAGAGGGUGCGAGCGGUGUCCGGAAUCACUGGGCGUAAAGGGCGCGUAGGCGGCCUGAUAAGUAGGGGGUGAAAUCCUGUGGCUUAACUGCAGGGCUGCCUCCUAGACUGUUAGGCUCGAGCACGGUAGAGGCAGAUGGAAUUCCCGGUGUAGCGGUGGAAUGCGUAGAGAUCGGGAAGAACAUCGGUGGCGAAGGCGGUCUGCUGGGCCGUUGCUGACGCUGAGGCGCGACAGCGUGGGGAGCAAACAGG
rnacentral:rRNA from 1 species